rnacentral:rRNA from 1 species
UACAGGGGGUGCAAACGUUGCUCGGAAUCAUUGGGCGUAAAGCGCACGUAGGCGGUCUGUUAUGUCGGAUGUGAAAGCCCUUGGCUCAACUGAGGAAGUGCAUCCGAAACUGGCAGGCUAGAGUACGAAAAGAGGAUCGCGGAAUUCCCGGGUGUAGAGGUGAAAUUCGUAGAUAUCGGGAGGAACACCGGUGGCGAAGGCG